rnacentral:pre_miRNA from 1 species
GCUGAUGUGUACAUGUAUGGUGUUCAGCACCAAGGACUGGUAUGUUUGCCAAUGGGUAUAUGUAUGGCGUUCAGCACCAAGGACAGGUAUGUUCGCUG